rnacentral:lncRNA from 1 species
CAAAAUUUAUCACAUGAAAACCACGACUAAGGACAUAAGCAUCAUCAAAGCAACAUUAGAAGCAACACUUGCGGCAGAGUCGGUAGAUGGUGGUGGUGGUGGUGGUGGAGUGACUGUGGUGCCGGGUGGUGAGGGGGUAGAAGGAGUGGUGCCAGGCGGCGAGGGGGUAGAAGGAGUGGUGGUGCCAGUGCCAACAACGUUAAUAGCUAAUUUUUGGCCUCUUGAGCAGUGGCCAGAAAAGGUACAAAUAUAAUAUUGCAUGCCAUUGGCAGUAAGAUUGAUGGUAGCCGGACCACUGUUACGAAG